UUUCAGAAGCAGUUGGCCAAAAUAAUAAUGUCAGAAGUAAGACAAAGCUUUGAAGAAAGAACAUCUGUCAUAAAGUGUUACUGGAGGCACGAAAAUGUCAAAGAAGUGCAAAGACAAUUCAGAAGACACUUUGACAGGGAUCCACCCAGGUGACGCACCAUUGCUCGCAUCACAGCUAAAUUUGCAUCAACCAGCAGCAGCAGCAGCAGCAGCAUGUCAGUAGUAGCAGGAGUAGUGAAUGGUCACUCGUAUGUGGUGACUACUUGGACUAUUAGGCCGCCCUUGUAGUGUGCUGGACUAUUGGUCAACAAGGAGCCCUGAAAGUUACGUGGUACAACUAUUUCGGCGAUAGUAAUGGCUGUAAGUAGUAGUAGUAGUUGUAGUAAUAGUAGUAGUAAUAGUAGUUAUGCGUGUAAUGUCAAUAUGGUCCAUUUUGUAACUGUAAUUGGAAAAAUUCUCGACUUUGUGUUUCUUAAAGGCGUGACGUAAUUAGAGAAAACGUAUGUAUUUUAAGGGACACUAGCCUGUACUUCAUUAUUUCUGUUUAUUGCUAUUAUAGGAGUUUCUUGAUAGUUUUACUUGUAUAUACUAUUUAAAUCUACUAUUCUAUUUAUUAUGUGUAAGUGGGAGAUGUCAGAGAAAGAGCCAUAUUUAUAAUUUGCAUUUGUAAGGUCAAUAAGGUCUAUUUUAUUAAGUAAAUUUAUAAGAUGCUCGACCUUAUGUUUCUUAAAUGAGUGACGUAAUUAGAGAAAACGUGUCUUUUAAGGAACACUAACCUAUACUUCAUUAAUGUGGUUAUUGUUGUUAUACGAGUUUUCCGGUGUAUAUACUAUUUAAAUCUACUAUUUUGUGUUGUAUAAUACUAUGUUUGAAUGGUAGAACUAAGAGAAAGAGUCAUAUUUGUAAUGUUUACAUGUAAGGUCAAUAUGGUCUAGUCUGUAACUGUAAUUUGAAGGAUUUUCAACCUUUUGUUUCUUAGUAAAUGACGUAACUAGAAAAAACGAAUCUUCUUUAAGGGGAAACUAAACAACAAUGAAUUAUUCCUCUUUAUUCUUAAUACUGCAGAUAUCUGGGUAGUUUUAGGCGAAUAUUCUAUUUAGACGUAGUGUUUUGUAAUGUGCGGCAGUACUAGAUGCCACACUGAAGUGGUAGAAGUGAGAGAAGAAGCCUUAUUUAUGAAAUGUGACAGAAAACCUAACAAUGAAUGGAGGGUGAACAAGGAGGAGCGACAGAGGGAAGAAAGGGGCAAACAACAGGAACAAAAGGAACAACACGAAUAGGAGAGAGAGAACAGGAGGAGGAGGAGGAGGAAGAGAAACUGAAAGAUACGGAAGAGAAGGAGGAGCAGGAGGAAGAGGAGGAGGAAGAAGAGGAAAACAAAGAAAAACUUCGAUAACAAAACUCUCUUUCUCUCUCUCUCUCUCACUCUCUCUCUCUCUCUCUCUCUCUCUCUCUCUCUCUCUCUCUCUCUCUCUCUCUCUCUCUCUCUCUCUCUCUCUCUCA